GAGGGGCAUCGGGAGGAAAGCUUGCUUUCCUUGCCGGCGACCGGCGCACGGGUGAGUAACACGUAUGCAACCUGCCCUCUUCAGGGGGACAACCUUCCGGAAGGGAGGCUAAUCCCGCGUAUAUCGGUUUCGGGCAUCCGAGAUCGAGGAAAGAUUCAUCGGAAGAGGAUGGGCAUGCGGCGCAUUAGCUAGACGGCGGGGUAACGGCCCACCGUGGCGACGAUGCGUAGGGGUUCUGAGAGGAAGGUCCCCCACACUGGUACUGAGACACGGACCAGACUCCUACGGGAGGCAGCAGUGAGGAAUAUUGGUCAAUGGGAGAGAUCCUGAACCAGCCAAGCCGCGUGAGGGAAGACGGCCCUAUGGGUUGUAAACCUCUUUUGUCGGAGAACAAAACCCGGGACGAGUCCCGGACUGCGUGUAUCCGAAGAAAAAGCAUCGGCUAACUCCGUGCCAGCAGCCGCGGUAAUACGGAGGAUGCGAGCGUUAUCCGGAUUUAUUGGGUUUAAAGGGUGCGUAGGCGGUCCGUUAAGUCAGCGGUAAAAUUGCGGGGCUCAACCCCGUCGAGCCGUUGAAACUGGCAGACUUGAGUUGGCGAGAAGUACGCGGAAUGCGCGGUGUAGCGGUGAAAUGCAUAGAUAUCGCGCAGAACUCCGAUUGCGAAGGCAGCGUACCGGCGCCAGACUGACGCUGAGGCACGAAAGCGUGGGGAUCGAACAGGAUUAGAUACCCUGGUAGUCCACGCAGUAAACGAUGAAUGCUGGUUGUCCGGGUCGAAUGAGAUCUGGGCGGCGAAGCGAAAGCGAUAAGCAUUCCACCUGGGGAGUACGCCGGCAACGGUGAAACUCAAAGGAAUUGACGGGGGCCCGCACAAGCGGAGGAACAUGUGGUUUAAUUCGAUGAUACGCGAGGAACCUUACCCGGGCUCAAACGGGAGCGGAAUGGACCAGAGACGGUUCAGCCUACGGGCCGCUUCCGAGGUGCUGCAUGGUUGUCGUCAGCUCGUGCCGUGAGGUGUCGGCUUAAGUGCCAUAACGAGCGCAACCCCCGCCGGCAGUUGCUAACGGGCAAUGCCGAGGACUCUGCCGGGACUGCCGCCGCAAGGCGUGAGGAAGGCGGGGAUGACGUCAAAUCAGCACGGCCCUUACGUCCGGGGCGACACACGUGUUACAAUGGGCGGUACAGCGGGAAGCCAGGCGGCGACGCCGAGCGGAACCCGAAAGCCGUUCUCAGUUCGGAUCGGAGUCUGCAACCCGACUCCGUGAAGCUGGAUUCGCUAGUAAUCGCGCAUCAGCCAUGGCGCGGUGAAUACGUUCCCGGGC
rnacentral:rRNA from 1 species